rnacentral:rRNA from 1 species
GACGAACGCUGGCGGCGUGCUUAACACAUGCAAGUCGAACGAUGAAGCUAGAGCUUGCUAUGGUGAAUUAGUGGCGAACGGGCGAGUAACACGUGAGUAACCUGCCCCGAACUCUGGGAUAACUGCUGGAAACGGUAGCUAAUACUGGAUACGACCUACGAAGGCAUCUUCUGUAGGUGGAAAGAAUUUCGGUUCGGGAUGGACUCGCGGCCUAUCAGCUUGUUGGUGAGGUAAUGGCUAACCAAGGCGACGACGGGUAGCCGGCCUGAGAGGGUUACCGGCCACACUGGGACGGAGACACGGCCCAGACUCCUACGGGAGGCAGCAGUGGGGAAUAUUGCACAAUGGGCGCAAGCCUGAUGCAGCAACGCCGCGUGAGGGAUGACGGCCUUCGGGUUGUAAACCUCUUUUAGUAGGGAAGAAGCGAAAGUGACGGUACCUGCAGAAAAAGCACCGGCUAACUACGUGCCAGCCGCCGCAGUAA